rnacentral:rRNA from 1 species
UACGUAGGGGGCAAGCGUUGUCCGGAAUCAUUGGACGUAAAGCGCGUGUAGGCGGCUCGGUAAGUCCGCUCUGAAAGUCCAGGGCUCAACCCUGGGAUGCGGGUGGAUACUGCCGGGCUCGAGUCCGGAAGAGGCGGAGUGGAAUUCCCGGUGUAGCGGUGAAAUGCGCAGAUAUCGGGAGGAACACCAAUGGCGAAGGCAGCUCGCUGGGACGUGACUGACGCUGAGGAGCGAAAGCGUGGGGAGCGAACAGG